GUUGUCUUUUCCUCUUUUAAUUUGCAUUACUUUAUCUGUAUAGUGCACGAAGCAAAUCUCCAAUGCAUGAUAAAUCUGCAUGUAAUAAUACAAAGGAAGACAGCGGUUGCUUUGAUCCAGAUGAUGACGAUGCUUUCUUAGACAACGAUCAAAGUGGAAAAAUUUGUCUUACAAGCCCAGGAUUGUCAAAAGACGAAAAUAUUCUCAUGCGUAAAGCCGAGAGAAUUUUAAAGUAUGUUUAUGAUAAUCGUCGAAUGUUGAAGAAAUUAUCGUAGGAAUAAAAAACAUAUACACACAAGAUAUUAAUUAAGCAGAGAAAAUAAGUAUAUAUGCAUUUCUGAAAAAUAAUCAUAAUAAGUUUUACGUGCUUGAAAUGAUGGCUUUCAACUGCAUGUGAUAUUAUGGAUUAUGUAAAAGAACUUGAAAAUUUAUUAACAUUUAGAAUCAAUUCUAAAAAAUCUUACUUGAUAAAGCAUGAUGCAGUAUGGUUCCUAAUAAAGCUUUCUGACACAAUUUCCUAACAAAUGAAAAAAAAAAUACUGACACUGGAGCAUACAUGUUUAGUUAUUACUUCAAAGAUAUUAGAUGUUAUAAUUAUUCGCUUUCCAUUGCUCUGUUACAGGAAAAACAAGUCAUUCCGACCAAAGUCAAAGCCACCUACA
rnacentral:lncRNA from 1 species